UAUAGAGGGUGAGGCCUGCCCAAUGGUUGUAUCUAAAAGCGGUUGAUAAAAGUCGACCUCGUAAGGACAAUUGAAUGGCCGCGGUAACACUGACCGUGAUAAUGUAGCGUAAUCAAUAGCCAAUUAAUUGUUGGCCAGUAUGAAUGGCGCCACGAAGGCCCCACUGUCUUAAGGAAAUUCCCAGUGAAAUUGAAUUCGUAGUGAAGAUGCUACGUCCAAUUUGUUAGACGAAAAGACCCCGUUGAGCUUUACUGGGGCACUUACACGGCCCCGGCCUUCCAAACUAGGCUUACGAUGCCUAGGGAUUGGCCGAAUUUAAAUGGGCGGUUUAGACUAUGUGGCAGCCCCCCGUCGGGGCAGAUGAAACCCCACUCCCCCAUGUCAAAGGGGCUAACCCCCCCCUUGGGGGGGACAGUGUAAGUAGGACAGUUUGGUUGGGGCGACCGCCUUUUAAAGAGUAACGAAGGUGCGCUUAAGGUGCGCAAAUAAUGACUGAAGCCUGACUGCGAGGGGGACACCCCGAGCAGACACCCCCAAGCCCGCCCGAAGGGCGGCGGCGGGGUGGGCCAUAGU
rnacentral:rRNA from 1 species